CGUCACAACUUCUGAGUCGCGUUUUGAUUGGUCACCGAGCCGGAAGCGAUCGCAGCGUGUUGGCUGACAAGCAUGUAAACAAAUGUUAAUGUUUGACCAAACAAUUGGAUGGAAUGCCGGCUGGAGACGCUGUAGUUGAAUUCCAGGAUGUUGUGUGAAGUGCUUUUCUCAUCGUUAUGGUUCCUGUUUGUCAUCUUCUGGGUGGAGACCAUCGGUGUGUGGCUGUUUCUCUCCAUGUUCUACCAAGACACAACCUUCUAUCACUGGAGUGAUGGGGUAUUUUCAGAUGAUUCUGGACAGCUGAUAUACAUGUUGAGUAGAGUUGAUACUCACGUGCAGUAAAAGAUGGAGGCCAGUAGAACACGGAGGACUCCUGAAAGAACUCUUGACUUUAGGGAUCUUGCAAGUGGGUCACUCGUCAUUAAAAGAACAAAAGCACCUGCUUGUUGAAGUGUACAAUUUUUGGUUCCAUCUACAGUAGUCUGUACACUCUGAUCAGAGUCUAAAAUGAAGUUUAUGUGGAGCCCGCGCAUUAGAAAAUAUCUAUUUUAUUACAAUAUAAUUCUAAUCCCUAAGGAAAAAUGUGUGGUGUGUGUUUAGUGUCCAUGCAUGAUAACACACACACAGGAUGAACACAUGUAAAUAUGAACAGAAAAGACAUUUGUAUCUUUCCACCACCACUCUCAAUUCUUUUUGAAGGUUCUUUCCCCUUCCUCUCCUUAUUUGUGUAUUCAUUAGAAUAUGUUUUAUCAUUGUGUCUAUGCAACUGAAUGUGUGACUAUAUGCAGAUAUGCUUGAAAAUGGUCACAUUUCACUAAGGUUAUAUUCGAGUGUGCAUUGAAGCCCAGUUUCAAACAUGAUCAAAAUGUAAACAUGCAGUAAUAAUCUUACUUUUUUGAAGAAGUACAUCAAUAAAAUGUGCAGUUUGGAAAAUAAAAGUGAGCUGCAUUAUGGAGAUUA